rnacentral:lncRNA from 1 species
AACGAGCCUUCCUUUGCCGAGACGGUGGAAGCAGGAGGCCUCUUGUGUGUGAAUCCCAGGUUCCUGGUAUGUGUGCUUCUGGCCCUUCUCCUGACUUGGCCGAGUUACCCUGUGUUCACCUCCGCUGCCCUCUGUACGCGGAGGGCUCCCCCGAGACCGCCGCCCAGGAGGAUGGCACAGCUGUCCCCGCUGUGGGGCUCCUGCCAGGGCCGGGGCAGACCCCCUCCCACUCCGAGAGAGGGUUCUGUUUGGCCCACUCGCUGCGUGACAUAAACACAUUUUCUUUUUUCUUUUUAUUUUUUUCUUUACUCCCUCCCUGCUCCUGACUGGCUUCCACGGAAGGGAUGGCAUCUGUGAAGGGAAACCAGGAAGCUUUCCCAGCAAACCCAUCCGAGGCUUUCUCCUCAGAUAAAACUCUAAGAAAAAGCCUAAGAGGCCUGAUCCUCUAAUCCCCUUACUGCCAUCUUCAAAUCCAGAGUACUUUCCAGAAUCAUCUGAAACAGCAAAGAUGAGGCGCAGCCCCAGCCGACAUGUUACUUUAUCACUAAUGAGAAAGAACCGGGUCCCUGAUGCCUGAGGAUGAGAAUACUGAUUUCAAACACGUCCUCAGAGCCUGGCCCAGCCCACACACACCCCGGCCCAUCUGCCGUGUCCUCCGCGGGCCCCUGGCCCGCACUGCUUUGCAGAAGAGAACUGUCCUUCAGAGCUGCCUCAGCCCCCUGUGUCCCAAGAACAGGCAGUGUGGUUGUCCUGGCUCACCUGGUUCACCGGAAACCAGGCCUCGGUUAACUGUGAUCACGGCCUGCGGCGGCUGCUGUUGGUGUCAGCGUUUGUCCGGGGCUCGGAACAGUUUGUGGGCCGGGUGGGGAGAGAGGUGAGGAGGUAGGCGUGCGCGAGCAGGUCUCAGGAUCACAUUAGGAUGUGAGAUGAUAACUCUGGAAAGAUUUUCAGGAUGCAGUUUCCUGGAAAUCCAUGAAACUUGUGACAGCCAGACAGCAGGGGGCUUUAAGGUUUGGAGAUCUGACCAGGAGCAUCGGUCGUCUCUCCCCUUCUUGUCUUCCCUGUGUCACCACCCGGCACCGUCCCCUUUCCUCCCCAUCGGCCUCGUCCGCCCCAACUUGGAACCUGGGCCUGGUUUCUUUUAUCAGCUUCCGGCCUGUGACUCUCACAGGUUGAGCAUCUCAAACUCAAGAACACUGGGAAAAGUAGGUGGCGGAAGAAAGAGGCAGGCAGGACGGGCAGGGAGGCGGGGGCAGCCCGGGCAGCUCGCUGGAUAAAGUGCCCUCCGCCCUGGUGAGCUUGUCCAGCUCGCGACUGAGACCGUUCUUCUCCCGCCCUUGAAGGAGAAGGGGCGAGGGCCCAGCUCCAGACAGCUGCCUCUGCCGUCUGUCAUCGACCUGGCGGCUGGAGAGGCC